UCUAGAAUUCUAAAUAUGGGAUGAACAUCGAACAUUGUCUAGGUUGGAGACAAAUUCAGACUCCUCUUUUCUUACUAAGAUUUGAACUUAAAAAUCGUAGUAUCAAGUCUUGGGAUCUUCAUGAAUAUUUUAGGCCUACAUUUUCUCUUUCCAUA
rfam:Populus trichocarpa scaffold_129_contig_1, whole genome shotgun sequence.